CAGGGAUUGCCUUAGUAACGGCGAGUGAAGCGGCAAUAGCUCAAAUUUGAAAUCUGGCGCUUGCGUCCGAGUUGUAAUUUGUAGAGGAUGAUUUUGGUUAGGUACCUUUCGAGUUCCUUGGAACAGGACGCCUUAGAGGGUGAGAGCCCCGUACGAUUGGAUGCCGAGCCUUUGUAAAUCUCCUUCGACGAGUCGAGUAGUUUGGGAAUGCUGCUCUAAAUGGGAGGUAAAUUUCUUCUAAAGCUAAAUACCGGCCAGAGACCGAUAGCGCACAAGUAGAGUGAUCGAAAGAUGAAAAGCACUUUGAAAAGAGGGUUAAAUAGCACGUGAAAUUGUUGAAAGGGAAGGAUUUAUGACCAGACUUUUUCUAGGAGGAUCAUCCGGUGUUCUCACCGGUGCACUUCUUCUAGUUUAGGCCAGCAUCGACUUUCGGCGGCGGAUAAAAGCUUCAGGAAUGUGGCUCCCCACGGGGAGUGUUAUAGCCUGUUGUAUAAUACGCUGCUGGGGGUCGAGGUACGCGCUUCUGCAAGGAUGCUGGCGUAAUGGUUAUCAAUCACCCGUCUUGAAACACGGACCAAGGAGUCGAACAUUUAUGCGAGUGUUUGGGUGUUAAACCCUCACGCGUAAUGAAAGUGAACGGAGGUGAGAGCCCUUACGGGUGCAUCAUCGACCGAUCCUGAAGUUUUCGGAUGGAUUUGAGUAAGAGCAUAACUGUUCGGACCCGAAAGAUGGUGAACUAUGCGUGGAUAGGGUGAAGCCAGAGGAAACUCUGGUGGAGGCUCGCAGCGGUUCUGACGUGCAAAUCGAUCGUCAAAUCUGCGCAUGGGG
rnacentral:rRNA from 1 species